AUCUAAUAUAAUGAAAUACGGUAUAUAAUUAGAACUCUGGCCGACCCGAUUUUAUUUCUUCCUAAUAGGAACUUAAGUCGAGCCAGCCGUACAUAGUCUAGUGUGCUGCCCGUAAGGUGGCGACGCCACGCAUCGGCGCGACGAACUACCUCGCCUGCGCAUCGCUCGGCUCCACACGUGCAUCCUGCCGCUACCAUUAAUAAUGGCGUCAGAUCUAUCCAUGUGCACGUCUCGAUAUUAAAGAAAAACGCGUAUUUCUCGUAUUUCACGUUGUCGUGCAACGCGAGUGCAACAUCACAUCCAGUGAUGCUCGAUAACCAUUCUUACACGCCGUUGCGUUCGAAUUACCAACUCUACGACGAAUAACCUACCAUGACCGCGCCAGAUAACCUCCAUUCCCAAACAGAGAAUGAAUGGGAGAAUGACAGCCGAGCCACACGCGAAAUGGAGCGUACUCUCUAAAUGCACGCAGCCUUCGUAUUUUAACAAAAACAUGCAGUGUAAGUAAGUAUACGUAAGUAAUAUUAUUACUACUUACAGCCCUCCGCAUAACCUUAUCCGUCCACUGCAUCGCAUAUCGAGCCACACUCCUCCAGCACACUCCUCCUGGCAGCACUAAAACUGCCAACCUCACGAUCACUAGAAACACCACUGAGAUCACUGUAGAAGCCACCUGCAUAAGUUUUGUCAGAGACCAGGCUACGUCGCUAAAAAAUUUAUGUGCUCUAUCUUAACUCGUACCAGCUCACGACACAAUUAUCGACAAGAUUUACCCUGCCUCUAGCAGAAUCGCCACCUCCUUACAAUAUCACUGCUUCAUAGAAGCAGUCAAGGUAAAAUACAAAAGACUUAAAACUAGUCAGUCGCUGUAAGUACACUAUAAUCGCUUAAUCUAAAAAUAGCCUAUUCCAUUAUAAAGUAUCUACUAACUAUCCUUAUAAACACCCUUUUACUGUCAUUUAAUAUAAAUAAUGUAAAUAAUGUAAGGUAGCCACCUGUCACAAUAAUCCUCGUUAUAUCCUAUUUCAGGUAUCACAACCUCCUUCGCAGUAUACACGCAGCCUCAUAUACCAGGUUCGUCCCACUCGUUCACUUAUGAAUAAGAAUACAAGAACACUUAAACUAGGCAGUCUAGUAAGUAGAACUAAAACUCUUAAUCUAGAAAUUACUCUGUCGCAUGUAUAAAAUUAAUGAUACUAUAACUAAUACGAAAUUCCACCUCCCAAUAUAAUUCUUUGUUUCUACCUACAAAUCGAGAACUCAAUUGCACAUCCCAUCGCCUUCUUUAUCAAAACUUUACCUCAUAAGGGUACGUACUUCUUCAUUAUAUACUAUAUUAAUACAUGGGAUAAAUAAUCAUCUAAUCGUCUAAGAGUCGUGAUAACUAAUCGACAGCUCGUUUCUUUAUUUACAGAUGACGACUCAUCGACUCUACACUAAAGCACCAUAAAAACCUUAUCACAACCAUCUAUAAAGGCCAAUAAUUAUACCUACAGCAUGCUCACCUAUCAUACUAAAUAACACUAAAUCUCUAUCAUACCGUGUAAAUAGUCCAUUGUUAAAAAUAACAGUAGAUAUUACAAUGAGAUACACAUCAUGACGAUCGUUCAUAAUCUAUUUCAGAUAUCGAAUCACAUUCACCUAUCAUUACACAAUCCAGGAACUAACUCCCUCCAACUCUAGAAAAUAACAACUCGUCGACUGACAAGAACAACAUAACCUACAAACUUCGAACUAUAUCCCUUCACAACGAGGCAUUUUAUAACUUUUUCCCGCACUUCUCCGUUCUAAACUGCAACGCCCCUUGUAAACAACACCACUAGAUACACACCUACAAUAAAGAUAUAAUAAAAAUAUAAUCCUACACUCA